ACACACACACACAUGAAAAGUAUUUCCCUCUUGGAAACGCUCCAUCGUGUUGGUGCUGAGUUCAGGGUUGCCCGUGAAAAGGCACAUCAGCAGUGGGCUAAUCAGCAGUUUUGUUGGUGCUUAAGUGAAUGUGUCUUGAAGGGUUACGUGACGGAGUAAUAUAUCACAACACAAGGAAAGAAGAAAGAAAGAAAAAAAACAGCGGCGGUAUGCAAAGACACUCGCACGAUGAAACGGAGGCGCAGCUGCUCUGGAGGUGUGUGCGUGACAGCCUCUGCAGGAAACUAACACCGCACACCUCCAGCUCCUCUGCAUUCCAGCUCGUCCCGAGCAUCCUGACGUGACCCGCCGCUGCUGCACGGCUCCUCACGUCCCGUAGAGUAGUAGCCCGUAAUCUCUUCAAGAAAGGCUGCCGCCUUCGCGUGACUUGACCAAGCAGAUUUAGGAUUGUCCAGAAGACCGGGACCCUCCCCUCUGGACGGCAGCUCCGCUUCUCACGCAACCUGCAGCACCAGAGGCGUAGCCGCGCGGCGCACGGCGGAGAGUCCCCGGAGAGUCAACACACACACACACACACACACACACACGCGCGCGCGUGCGCACACACAGACGCACGCACACACACACAUGGUCUGGGAGGAUCGGGACAGCGCAACUUUUACCUGCCGGACUUUCCCCUCAAUCCAAA